ensembl:lncRNA
GUGGCCCAGGAUGCCAGGCAAGCUGUAGGCCUUCUGCUUGGUGCCUGGGGACUGCUGCUUUGGGCCUUGUGGAACAGCAACUUUGCUGCCCUUGUACCAGACCCAUAUGGGACACUGGGAAGAGCCAAGCAAGCAGGACCAGUAUGAGGUUUGGCUCUUGGUUUUCUCCGUAUGCUGCUCCUCAGGAAGGACCUGGUUUGUGUUCGUGUCCUUGUUCCUGAUGGGGCAGGAUGUCAGGCCAAACUAGCAGCGCCAGGUGGAGGUCUGGCUGUUGGUCUCCUCCACAGGCUGCUCCUCAGGAAGGGCCUGGUUGUCCUUCCUGUCCUCGAUUCUGGUGGGGCAGGAGGUUAGGCCAAACCAGGAGUGCCGGCUGGAGGUCUG